UAUUCUGCCCCACGGGGAAGGAUGAGAAGCUUCGACUAAGGUUCGACUCGAGCAAAGUGAGAGAACGUUGCCGCAGGCAACGGCCCGAAGGCGAGGCGCUUUAGCGCCGAGUAAUCCUUCCCCCACCACUG
rnacentral:sRNA from 1 species